GACGUAGGGCGCGAGCGUUGUCCGGAUUUAUUGGGCGUAAAGAGCUCGUAGGCGGCUUGUUGCGUCGACCGUGAAAACCCGGGGCUCAACUUCGGGCUUGCGGUCGAUACGGGCGGGCUAGAGUUCGGUAGGGGAGACUGGAAUUCCCGGUGUAGUGGUGAAAUGCGUAGAGAUCGGGAGGAACACCAGUGGCGAAGGCGGCCGGCUGGGGGUGACCUGACGCUGAGGCGCGAAAGCGUGGGGAGCGAACCGG
rnacentral:rRNA from 1 species